rnacentral:lncRNA from 13 species
GAUUGUUUCUCCUUGUUUUUUCCUUACAGUCUGUGUUGAGGGAGCUGUGGCUGUUCUGGAUGUGACUUGUGCCCUGGGCUGGAAGAAAGGGAGGAGCAGAGAUAUCGAGUUUUAGGGAGAAAGAAAAUAUAGCAUGAAGUAAAAAUGCAAUCUGAUUUGAAGUUGGUAUUCUUGGCCUAGCAAUUCCAGCUAGCAAAGCAAUUUACUGAUUCAAAAUAGUACUCAUCUUGAAGAGGAAGCUGGUGUUAAAAUAACAGAAUAUUCACAAAUAAGUCUAAAGAGAACAAAGCAUGACCUAAAUAAAGAAAAGUACAACUGGAAGUUAUAAAAGAAGACUUGAAUAAAUGAACAAAUAUACUAUUUUCCUAAAAGGAA